AUGAAAACAAAAAACAAAGAAAGGAAGAAAGAAAGAAAAGAAAAAAAAACCCAGAAGAAAUGAAUUUCACAUGCCAAUAAAAGAAACUAGAACACAUUCUAUAGAAGAAAUUAUCUAUCAACCCUAGCACUCUAUGAGACACCCUGCCUCAAAAAAAUGAGCAUGUUGGAGAACGAGAUAGAAGAUGACACCUGAUGUUGACCUGGCCUUUACAUGUGCACACACGGACUUGCUGCAAGAAACAAGAAGAGAGACCCAAACCUGCAAAACAUCCUUGAAAAGGCCAGCAGCCACAGUGGACUUUCCUGGUGCUCAUGAACCCAGCGGCAGUGGGGCAGGAGGAGGCAGAUGCUGGCACCUGUUACUGUCCAGGGCUGGUCAGUGAGUGCUCUGGUCUCCGCUCCUGGCUCAUGUUCUUGCCCCAGGACAUGGGCCUCAGAGCUUCAGAGGUGACUUUCCACCUUUGUGGCCUCUUCUUAAACCUCAAAUGGCCUUUUAAAAAUUUUUUAUUUUUAAUUGGCCUAAAGUUAAACAUCUUUUUGGGCACAGUGU